rnacentral:rRNA from 1 species
CCUACGGGAGGCAGCAGUGAGGAAUAUUGGUCAAUGGGCGCGAGCCUGAACCAGCCAAGUCGCGUGAGGGAAGACGGUCCUAUGGAUUGUAAACCUCUUUUGUCGGGGAGCAAAAGACGCCACGCGUGGCGUUCCGAGAGUACCCGAAGAAAAAGCAGCGGCUAAACCCGUGCACGCCGCCGCGGUAAUACGGGGGAUGCGAGCGUUAUCCGGAUUUAUUGGGUUUAAAGGGUGCGGAGGCGGAAGCAAAAGUCAGCGGUAAAAUUGAGAGGCUCAACCUCGUCGAGCCGUUGAAACUGGGUUUCUUGAGUGAGCGAGAAGUAUGCGGAAUGCGUGGUGUAGCGGUGAAAUGCAUAGAUAUCACGAAGAACUCCGAUUGCGAAGGCAGCAUACCGGCGCUCAACUGACGCUCAUGCACGAAAGUGUGGGUAUCGAACAGGAUUAGAUACCCGGGUAGUC